UAGCUCAGUUGGUAGAGCUUGGCACUUGCAGUGCCAAGGUUGUGGGUUCAAUUCCCAU
rnacentral:tRNA from 1 species